rnacentral:lncRNA from 1 species
AUUGUCUACUGGGAGGGAAUGAACCUCUGACAUUUCCUUUUUGUCUCUAGGAGUCAUGAAGGUCUCCACUAGUCGUAGAAGGUUUGGUGACAUAUCUGGCCCAGCAGGUAGAGUAUAUUCCUGAGGAGAGUUCUGCAGACAAAUAAUAGAAAGACAUAAUGAACGUUUCAGAGAUUUUCCUGAAUAUAUAAAAGAUUCCCC